rnacentral:rRNA from 1 species
CAGUAGGGAUCUUCCACAAUGGACGAAAGUCUGAUGGAGCAACGCCGCGUGAGUGAAGAAGGUUUUCGGAUCGUAAAACUCUGUUGUUGGAGAAGAAUGUAUCUGAUAGUAACUGAUCAGGUAGUGACGGUAUCCAACCAGAAAGCCACGGCUAACUACGUGCCAGCAGCCGCGGUAAUACGUAGGUGGCAAGCGUUGUCCGGAUUUAUUGGGCGUAAAGCGAGCGCAGGCGGUUUCUUAAGUCUGAUGUGAAAGCCUUCGGCUCAACCGAAGAAGUGCAUCGGAAACUGGGAAACUUGAGUGCAGAAGAGGACAGUGGAACUCCAUGUGUAGCGGUGAAAUGCGUAGAUAUAUGGAAGAACACCAGUGGCGAAGGCGGCUGUCUGGUCUGUAACUGACGCUGAGGCUCGAAAGCAUGGGUAGCAAACAGGAUUAGAUACCCUGGUAGUCCAUGCCGUAAACGAUGAGUGCUAGGUGUUGGAGGGUUUCCGCCCUUCAGUGCCGCAGCUAACGCAUUAAGCACUCCGCCUGGGGAGUACGACCGCAAGGUUGAAACUCAAAGGAAUUGACGGGGCCC